rnacentral:rRNA from 1 species
GACGUAGGAGGCGAGCGUUAUCCGGAUUCACUGGGCGUAAAGCGCAAGUAGGCGGUUGGAGAAGUCCGUUGUUAAAGCCCCCGGCUCAACUGGGGGAGGUCAAUGGAGACUCUUCGACUUGAGGGCAACAGAGGCACAUGGAACUCCCGGUGUAGCGGUGGAAUGCGUAGAGAUCGGGAAGAACACCCGUGGCGAAGGCGGUGUGCUGGGUUGCAACUGACGCUGAGUUGCGAAAGUGUGGGUAGCAAACGGG